GACGAACGCUGGCGGCGUGCUUAACACAUGCAAGUCGAACGGAAAGGCCCUGCUUUUGUGGGGUGCUCGAGUGCCGAACGGGUGAGUAACACGUGAGUAACCUGCCCUUGAAUUUGGGAUAACUUCAGGAAACUGGGGCUAAUAUCGGAUAGGAGCUCCUGCAGCAUGGUGGGGGUUGGAAAGUUUCGGCGGUUGGGGAUGGACUCGCGGGUUAUCAGCUUGUUGGUGGGGUAGUGGCUUACCAAGGCUUUGACGGGUAGCCGGCCUGAGAGGGUGACCGGCCACAUUGGGACUGAGGGACGGCCCAGACUGCUACGGGAGGCAGCAGGGGGGAAUAUUGCACAGUGGGCCGGAGCCUGAUGCAGCAACGCCGCGUGCGGGAUGACGGCCUUCGGGUUGUAAACCGCUUUCGCCUGUGACGAAGCGGGAGUGACGGUAAUGGGUAAAGAAGCACCGGCUAACUACGUG
rnacentral:rRNA from 1 species